AGAGUUUGAUCAUGGCUCAGAGUGAACGCUGGCGGUAGGCCUAACACAUGCAAGUCGAACGGCAGCACAGAGGAGCUUGCUCCUUGGGUGGCGAGUGGCGGACGGGUGAGGAAUACAUCGGAAUCUACUCUGUCGUGGGGGAUAACGUAGGGAAACUUACGCUAAUACCGCAUACGACCUACGGGUGAAAGCAGGGGAUC
rnacentral:rRNA from 1 species